rnacentral:rRNA from 1 species
GACGAACGCUGGCGGCGUGCUUAACACAUGCAAGUCGAACGGAAAGGCCCUGCUUUUGUGGGGUGCUCGAGUGGCGAACGGGUGAGUAACACGUGAGUAACCUGCCCUUGACUUUGGGAUAACUUCAGGAAACUGGGGCUAAUACCGGAUAGGAGCUCCUGCUGCAUGGUGGGGGUUGGAAAGUUUCGGCGGUUGGGGAUGGACUCGCGGCUUAUCAGCUUGUUGGUGGGGUAGUGGCUUACCAAGGCUUUGACGGGUAGCCGGCCUGAGAGGGUGACCGGCCACCAUGGGACUGAGGGACGGACCAGACUCCUACGGGAGGCAGCAGUGGGGAAUAUUGCACAAUGGGCGGAAGCCUGAUGCAGCAACGCCGCGUGCGGGAUGACGGCCUUCGGGUUGUAAACCGCUUUCGCCUGUGACGAAGCGUGAGUGACGGUAAUGGGUAAAGAAGCACCGGCUAACUACGUG